rnacentral:rRNA from 1 species
CAUAUCAAUAAGCGGAGGAAAAGAAACCAACAGGGAUUGCCCCAGUAACGGCGAGUGAAGCGGCAACAGCUCAAAUUUGAAAUCUGGCCCUCGGGUCCGAGUUGUAAUUUGUAGAGGAUGCUUUUGGCAAGGUGCCUUCCGAGUUCCCUGGAACGGGACGCCAUAGAGGGUGAGAGCCCCGUCUGGUCGGACACCGCGCCUCUGUAAAGCUCCUUCGACGAGUCGAGUAGUUUGGGAAUGCUGCUCUAAAUGGGAGGUAUAUGUCUUCUAAAGCUAAAUACCGGCCAGAGACCGAUAGCGCACAAGUAGAGUGAUCGAAAGAUGAAAAGCACUUUGAAAAGAGAGUUAAAAAGCACGUGAAAUUGUUGAAAGGGAAGCGAUUAUGACCAGACUUGGGCCUGUUUGAUCAGCUUGGGUUCUCCCGGGUGCACUCUCUCAGGCUCAGGCCAGCAUCAGUUCGUCGCGGGGGACAAAGGUCGCGGGAAUGUAGCUCCCCUCGGGGAGUGUUAUAGCUCGCUUCGCAAUACCCUGCCUCGGACUGAGGUUCGCGCAUCUUGCAAGGAUGCUGGCGUAAUGGUCAUCAUCGAC